GGAGAGUUGGCAGAGUGGUCGAAUGCGGCGGUCUUGAAAACCGUUGUGCCAGCGAUGGCACCGGGGGUUCGAAUCCCUCACUCUCCG
rnacentral:tRNA from 1 species